rnacentral:rRNA from 1 species
AGCGGCGGACGGGUGAGUAACGCGUGGGUAACCUGCCUCAUACAGGGGGAUAACAGUUGGAAACGGCUGCUAAUACCGCAUAAGCGCACAGUACCGCAUGGUACGGUGUGAAAAACUCCGGUGGUAUGAGAUGGACCCGCGUCUGAUUAGGUAGUUGGUGGGGUAACGGCCUACCAAGCCGACGAUCAGUAGCCGGACUGAGAGGUUGAACGGCCACAUUGGGACUGAGACACGGCCCAG